rnacentral:rRNA from 1 species
GAUGAACGCUAGCGACAGGCCUAACACAUGCAAGUCGAGGGGCAGCACAUGCGUAGCAAUACAAUGGUGGCGACCGGCGCACGGGUGAGUAACACGUAUGCAACCUACCUGUAAGUGGGGAAUAACCCGGAGAAAUCCGGACUAAUACCGCAUAAUACUUUUGAACUGCAUGGUUUAAAAGUUAAACAUUUAUGGCUUACAGAUGGGCAUGCGUAUGAUUAGUUAGUUGGUGAGGUAACGGCUCACCAAGACAUCGAUCAUUAGGGGUUCUGAGAGGAAGGUCCCCCANACUGGUACUGAGACACGGACCAGACUCCUACGGGAGCAGCAGUGAGGAAUAUUGGUCAAUGGGCGAGAGCCUGAACCAGCCAAGUCGCGUGAAGGAAGACGGUUCUAUGGAUUGUAAACUUCUUUUGUAAGGGAUAAAAAAGNGUACGUGUACUUUCUUGUAUGUACUUUACGAAUAAGGAUCGGCUAACUCCGUGCCAGCAGCCGCGGUAAUGU